GAGGGUAUAUCCAGUGGUAGAGCACAUGCUUGGCAUGCACAAGGUCCUGGGCUCAAUUCCCAGUACCCCCA
rnacentral:tRNA from 1 species